rnacentral:sRNA from 1 species
CUAAACAGGUGUCUGUGGAGGGCACACCUGCUUAGCAGGACACAGGGCCCAUUCCUAUCCUUGGGGGCUCCCAGUCUGGCGCUGGAGACAUAGUAAGCAGGGGGUGACAGUGCUGUGGAUAAGCUGUCCAGUGUGAAACCAGGUAAUGGACAGCUCAAUGCCGCUGAUUGGAGAGCAUGUGGAAGAGGACAGACAGCUGAUGGCCGACCUUGUUGUCUCCAAAAUGAGCCAGCUCCUGAUGCCAGGAGGCACAGCACCCUCGCCCCUGAGACCUUGGGCUCCACAGAUUAAAUCAGCGAAAUCCCCAGGGCAAGCCCAGCUGGGGCCUCAGCUAGGACAGCCCCAGCCACGCCCACCUCCGCAAGGAGGCCCUCGCCAAGCUCAGUCUCCUCAGCCCCAGAGAUCUGGAAGCCCCUCCCAACAGAGGCUCUCCCCACAAGGCCAGCAGCCCCUGAGCCCCCAGUCCGGAUCUCCACAGCAGCAAAGGUCACCAGGCUCUCCGCAGCU